rnacentral:piRNA from 1 species
UUAAUUGUGCAAUUAACGGACGACUAU